GGCCCCGUAGCUCAGCUGGAUAGAGCGUCUGGCUUCGAACCAGAAGGUCGCGCGUUCGAGUCGUGCCGGGGUCG
rnacentral:tRNA from 1 species